GUAUUUAUCAAUGUUAUUUUGUUAUUUUGUUAUAUUUGUUAUAUACAUAUAUUAUGUAAAAACCUAAUUCGUGUAAAUUUAGUAAGUUUAAGUUUUGAGAUGUACAAAGGUGAGGUUUUGUUAUUUGUGUCAGAUGUUUGGACUCCUUACUUAGUUUUUUCUACCAUACAAGGUAAAAUAUUUUGCCCCAUAAACCCCAUUUAUAUUUUCAUAUACACGAUAUAAGACUAUUUUCAUAUAAGACUUGAUGGCUCAUAAAAGGUAAUUUACCAAAAUUUAAGCAGAUUCCUGAUUUCUCUUUUUUUGAUUUGAGACCCAAAUAAGACCAAUUUUGCAAAUAUAAGGUAAAAGUUAGGGUCAGUCUUUUCCUGCCAUAUUUAAAAAAUCAAAUAUCUUGAAAAGGAGCUCCAUGACCUAUCAAUAUUUUUAGCUUGUUUUGUUCCUUAACUGAUUCUGGCUUGUAGCAUCAAUAUUAAAUCUUUUUUUUUUUAAUUUCACCUAAGUACAUCCUUAAAUCUGCUAAAGUUUUGCAUUCUUUUAGUUAGUUAGUAAAAAUUAAAUGUUUGAAUUGCAUUCCAUAUUUUUGGUACAUUGUCUCGUAAAGUUUGCACUAAGUGCAAUAAAAUCCCCAUAAUCACUGAUGGAUUACAUACUGCACUUGUCUCAAAACAGAAAUUUACUGUAUAAAACAUUGGGAAAUAUACUAUAUUUGUACACAUAUUUCGAUAUUAAUCAGUAAACCAGAAUAGUUAACAUUCAUUCAAGUAGUAAGGGAAUAAAAAGAAAAAGCAAAAUCUCCUUCCUUGUGCAAUAUGUCAACAGUGUUGCAUCAUCGUAUCCAGACAUUUUCAUAAAAAUCUGGUAUAUAUAUGUUUUUGGUUUGUAUAAUUCUAGCAAUUUUUGCAAGUACUAACAGCAUGGUACUGAGGUGUAUAUGCUUAGUGUAAAGAUUGUUGCCAAUCUUUAAUUUAAAACAAUAUCUUUGGUUUCUGGAUAUUAAUAAUGACUAAGGCCAAAUAAAAAUAUAUGUGUGGUUCCAGUAACCCUACCGUCCCUACUUUUUCGGCUUGAAAAUAGCCUACCCUAAAGAUUUUAUUGUCAUUUUUCAUUAAUCACUGUUAAAGUCAGAAUGUUGCUCCCAUAGACUCAAUGUAAAAAAAAAACAUAAAAUAAAAAAAAAUCCCUGCCUACCUACCCUAACUUAUUUUCAGAUGUAACUGGAACCACACAUACUUUUUUAUUUGGCCUAAACAACUUUUAAAAGUAUCAGAGAUUAUUAUUGUCAAUAAUAAUAAAUACAUGUUAAAGAAAUACAAUAUGUUAAAACGUUUGAAUGUGUUUUUCGUGUAUGCGUUAUUACCUCUUGGAUUCUUUCAAGCUCAGUUCAAAAUCCUUUCGUUAUAAGAAAAGUCCGGUUUUUAUAGUUCUUAGCAUGUCUUAUCCUUGCGUGUAAGA
rnacentral:lncRNA from 1 species